CUUCGGGAGCACCGGCGGACUGCUCAGUAACACGUGGACAACCUACCCUCGGGUGGGGGAUAACCUCGGGAAACUGAGGCUAAUACCCCAUAGGCCUCGGAUACUGGAAGGUUCCGAGACCGAAAGCUCCGGCGCCCGAGGAUGGGUCUGCGGCCUAUCAGGUAGUUGGUGGUGUAAAGGACCACCAAGCCUACGACGGGUACGGGCCCUGAGAGGGGGAGCCCGGAGAUGGACUCUGAGACACGAGUCCAGGCCCUACGGGGCGCAGCAGGCGCGAAACCUUCGCAAUGCGCGAAAGCGCGACGAGGGGAGCCCGAGUGCCCUUCCUUUCGGGAGGGCUUUUCUGGAGCCUAAAAAGCUCCAGGAAUAAGGGCUGGGCAAGACGGGUGCCAGC
rnacentral:rRNA from 1 species